rnacentral:rRNA from 1 species
UUGUUGGUGAGGUAAAGGCUUACCAAGGCUUCGAUCAGUAGCUGGUCUGAGAGGACGACCAGCCACACUGGGACUGAGACACGGCCCAGACUCCUACGGGAGGCAGCAGUGGGGAAUUUUGGACAAUGGGGGAAACCCUGAUCCAGCCAUGCCGCGUGAGUGAAGAAGGCCUUCGGGUUGUAAAGCUCUUUCAGCCGGAACGAAACGGUUACGAUUAAUACCUGUAACUACUGACGGUACCGGAAGAAGAAGCACCGGCUAACUACGUGCCAGCAGCCGCGGUAAUACGUAGGGUGCGAGCGUUAAUCGGAAUUACUGGGCGUAAAGCGUGCGCAGGUGGUUUUGUAAGUCAGAUGUGAAAUCCCCGGGCUUAACCUGGGAACUGCGUUUGAAACUACAAGGCUAGAGUGUGGCAGAGGGGGGUGGAAUUCCGCGUGUAGCAGUGAAAUGCGUAGAGAUGUGGAGGAACACCGAUGGCGAAGGCAGCCCCCUGGGUCAACACUGACGCUCAGGCACGAAAGCAUGGGGAGCAAACAGGAUUAGAUACCCUGGUAGUCCAUGCCCUAAACGAUGUCAACUAGUUGUCGGGUCUUAACGGGCUUGGUAACGUAGCUAACGCGUGAAGUUGACCGCCUGGGGAGUACGAUCGCAAGAUUAAAACUCAAAGGAAUUGACGGGGACCCGCACAAGCGGUGGAUUAUGUGGAUUAAUUCGAUGCAACGCGAAAAACCUUACCUACCCUUGACAUGUAUUGGAGCCCGCAGAGAUGUGGGUGUGCCCGAAAGGGAACGAUAACACAGGUGCUGCAUGGCUGUCGUCAGCUCGUGUCGUGGGAUGUUGGGUUAAGUCCCGCAACGAGCGCAACCCUUGUCAUUAAUUGCCAUCAUUUAGUUGGGCACUUUAAUGAGACCGCCGG